rnacentral:lncRNA from 1 species
UAAGUAAAUUGUCCAAUAAACAUUGCAUUGAAUAAUCACAAAGAAUUACAUCAUUUUUGUGUAAGUUGACUUUUGGUCAAAUGUUGACUUUUUGGCCAACUAGUUGACUAAUGUCAACUCAUCAUCUUGCAAUCCAUAAGUCCUAAUUUUCUUUGGUCUUUUAGGUAGGAUCAUUUUUGCAUUGUCUAAUGACCAUAUCAUUUCUUGAACCAAUCACAAAAGCAAUUAGGCAAAGCAUUCCAAAUCCAUUCAUGGCAUAAACCAAAACCAACAUUCAAGUUCAAUACAAUUUACACUUUCGAUCCAAAAUUACAAAAACCACAAAUACACAAGUUGUGAUCCAUUUCAAACCCAUCCUAAACCCUAGUUCCUAUUUCUACUUUUCCUACAAGUCAUCCUUGUGAAUCUUCAAAGUUCCACUUGUUUUUUUGUCAUUUGUCAAUUUUACUUCAAGUACAAGCAAGAGAAUAAUGCCAUGGCCUUGUCACAUGUUUCCUUCAUGAGUGCAGCCAUACAAAACCAUUCGAGCAAUGCAUCAUGCAUCAUUAUCAACCCAUAAACAUCAUUUACAUUACAUACUAGCAUAAUUGAAUUCCAAACCAACCAUACAUUACAACAUUCCAAGUCUAACAUUUCACCACAUUACAAGCAUUACAAGGACCCCAUGCAUUGCCAUUAUAUCCAAACAUAUCCGAUAUCAAAUAAACAUGCAGCAAACAUUGCAAAUUUAAUAACAAGCCAUUUACCAUCACUGACCUAACACGUGACAUCCAUCCUACAACAAAUCAAUUAGCAAGCCACCACACAAUGGUCAUUUUAUCACAAGAUAAUACUCACUAACAAUUACGCCAUAGUACAACUUCAACCAACAAAUUUCAUGAAUCACAAACAUGUCAGUUUAACAUUUCUUAAGCAUCUAUGACAGUGGUAGCAAUGCAGCAAAGUUUCAGCUCAUUAAUACGUUAGCAUCCCAUGGAAUACAUCCUUCCAACAUUGAACAAACUAACCUAGUAGUACAUUUCAAUACAUUCCCUUAACAAUAAUUCUUAGCUAACAUCAUGGCAAAACUGACUUCAUGCUUAUUCAUUCACAUUCAAUUCGAAUUGCAACAUAGCAAACAACAAUUCCAGAAAUCAAUUUCCAGCUCACAAAAUCAUAACAAAUUUCAAACUAAUUAACUCUAAUCCAACUUAACAACAUUUCAAACUAACUAUAAAAAACUGAGUUUAACACUUAACCGCAGGAUGGAACAUAAAUGGAAUUUCAUUUAAUUGGAAUUACAUUUCACUGCAUUUUUCAUUUCCUUUGAAUUUAAUUUCCAACUAACCUAACAACUUGUAACUAACAUUUCAAAUUAACUGAAUCCUUCACUAUAACUAACUAUUGCAUCCUAACUGAAAAUUGCAUUCCAACUUGAAUUUCAUGUGAAUUUAAAAUCAGAAUUGACGGCUAUAAAUUGACAUUCGUGCUUCAGACCACAGUUCAAAGAGAGUCCAUAAAUUUUCCAUAAUAGAAAUUCACAUUCACAUAUCAAAUCACAGAGAAGAGUUCAGAGAAUCACAGAUUCAUAUACAUGCUUCAAUCAUCGUCUCUUCACUCUCAUCAUAAAUUACACGACACAACAUCAGAGGAAGAAGUAGAAGAUCAGAAGCAAGAAGGAGAAGAGGAGGUCGUGAAUACAAAAGCAAAAAGGAUUCAGAGCCAGAGAACUUACUUGAACUGUGCCGUCAUCUUCAUCUUCUCCGACGGUAGGUUCUUGAUUUUCCUUUAUGUUUUUCACUAAUCGGUUACAUAGAUGUAGUGUGGGGUGAAGGGAAUCAAAGGCCCAACAAUUCGGGAUUUGAUUCCAUUGUUUUGUGAUUUAAUUUGAGAUUUUGUUCAUUAGGGUUCAUAGGUAGAUUGAAUUGGUUAGAGUGGUUAGCUACGAAUUAGUUCAAAUUGGUGUUAGAUUUGGAUAGACUAGAGUAGUACGAAGUAAAUGGUGUAUGGUUUUGGUGGUUUAAGUCUCCUUCGCCGCCGGUGGCGAAUUCCGGAGCGACGGAGCUCAUUCUCAGGUGAGGGAAUCUGAGUUGCAUUUUGAUUUGAAUACGUGAACACAAGAAUUGCACUGACCUACCAUUUUCCCUCUCUCACUG